GUUUUACAAAGUUAAGAUUGUUUUUGGAUGACUUGGGUUUUGUAAAAUAAAAUAGGAUUGACGUUUCUAGCAAAUUCAAGAGUUUUGUAAUAGAUCUACGAAUAAAAUUUUGUAAGCUAAUGUUCAUAGUUGUGUUUAAUAUGUGUUGUAAAUCUUAGCUUGAUCUAACAAUUGAAUUGAGGAUUAUUGAGGUUUAAGUGGGUCAAGGUCUCAAAAAGUAGAAUUUUAGGUCUAAAGAGGAUUUUUAAGAUUUCUUGCAAUCUACUAAUUGGAUUGGAGUGAAAUUUAUAUAAGAGUAUAUUAAACUUAUUUUCUUAUGUGUUUGAGAAUUUUAAGAUCAAUCAAAUGAUAAAAAAGAGAGAUAUUGGCUCUAGAAGAUUGACAUCAAGGUUAGAGAAGGAGACUAGCCAAUAUCCAAGCUUAUUUUUGAGGUUAUCCUCUAUUUGGUAAUUUCGAUCAUUUUUAAAUUUUUUUAUGCCUAUUGUCAACUUAAUUGUAAAAAGCAUGUAAAUUUUGAAUUAAGAUCAAUGAUUCAUUUAUUAGUAAUUGAGGUAUAAAUCUAUUAUAAGAAUUACUAGGGUUUGAUUUAGGAUUAGAGUUUAGUUUAGGAUUUAGGGUUUAGAGUUUGGUUAGGAUUUGAUUUAGGAUUAGGAUUUGGUUUAGGAUUUAGGAUUAAGUUAGGGUUAGAUUUAGGAUUAGGAUUUGAUUAGUAUUUGAUUUAAGACUGAUUAAGAAUUUAUUUAGUAUUUAAGAUUUUGUUAGGAUUUGAUUUAGGGUUUAAGAUUUCAUUUGAGUUUAUUUAGGAUUUAAGAUUUGAUUAGGAUUUGAUUUAGGAUUUAGGAUUUUAUUUGAGUUUAUUUAGGAUUUAAGAUUUAAUUAGUUUUUGGCCUAAAUAUUAAAUGAAGUCCAAUAGGUUUUUAAUUAGGAUUAAAUUCAGAUUGAAUUGAAAUAUAUUUGAAAUGUGUUUGUGAUUAUUCUAAUAUUUCUUGAAGAUUUCUUAUUAUUUCUUUGUAAUUUUUUUGAGAUUUCUUUGAAUUUGAUUAAAGCUUGCUUAGUAUUAUUAUGGUCUAAUUAGAGUUUAGUUAGUAUUCUAUUAGAGUUAGGAUUUUGUUGUUACAAUUUCUAUUCUACCUUCCACAGCCAGGUACCUCAAGCAUUCUCAAGCAAGACUUCACAUAUUAAGACAACGCUUCUAAUUGAGUCAGUAUAUAUAUGGAUCACAUGAAUCUUGAGUACUUCAUGUCAAUAAAUACUUUAAAUCGUCGCUAAGUCCAUUGUCAUACUGUAAAUGCUUAUAGUAUGUAAAAAUUAGUUAAAACAUAUUAUAUAUUGAUAAAUUUGGAUGUGUGUUAAAGUGGUUAGUAGAUUAAAUUAAAAGGAGUUGGUAUAAGAAACCUUAUUUUGUUUCUUUUACUUGCUUUGAUUUUGGCAUAUAAAUAUAUAUAUAUAUAUAUAUAUAUAUAUAUAUAUAUAGAAUCUAAGUAUUUAGUAUGAAGCCUUGGAAGAAGGUAGAAGCCUAAAGAAGAAAAUCUUAACUAGUAAGAGAAUUAUUGAGAGGGAUGAAAGCAAGGCAUGGUUGGAUGAAGGCAAGGAAUGGAGAUCUUCAUUCCUAUUGGUCAAAGGCCAUGCCCAAUGGACUUCAAGGAGGCUAUCUGAGGCCUUAUUAGAGAUUAGUGUAGAAUAGAUAUUAGUUCAUUUUUGUAAGACAUUGAUAAAAUAAACUAAUAGUCCAUAGAAUAAUUAGUUCAGGAGGAUAGAUAGUUAAUCUAGUUAUUAAAAGGGAUUAAUUAUAAAAUUAUGGUUAGAAUCUGAGAAUAGAGAGUAAGUAUAUAGGAGUUAUAGAAGUUGUUCUGAAGGCCAGACUAUGAUAGUCAUGAGCCGGGGUAAGCUUGGUGCUACUUCUUUGUUUCUUUGUUAGUGAAGAGUAAUGGAUAGUUUUUGAAUACUGAGAAAAGAAUUUGUGAAAUAAAUCAGAGAUUGAUUUAUGAGUUAUUGAUUAUGUAAUUGGAAUACUAUGUGAUUGAAUUAUAUGAGGAGUUAUUAGAAGAUUAUGAUUGUUGUUUAUUGAGAGUAGUGUGUGUGUUUCGAUAGAAGAAGUUUGUGAUUAUAGAAAUUGUGUGAAUCCAGAUUGGUUGGAGUGAAGUCUAUUAUUUUUGGUGUU
rnacentral:lncRNA from 1 species